rnacentral:lncRNA from 1 species
UUCUCUGGAGAAAAAAAUUCAGAAAAGAAAAGAAAAAGAGAAGAAAAUUUUCCUGCAGAAAGUACACAAGAAAAAAGUAAAAGAGAGAAGUGAGUUUGAGGGGGGAAGCGGCCGAAACGGUAAAGGUUGAUUUGACCUUUACUGUUCAUCAUCUUCCCCAAAGCACCUCCGCCCCACUCACCGCUCCUGCAACUCUGCACCGAAGCACCUCCGCGCCACCGCGACACCAGCCGCCUCCGCAACCCGAGCGCCCCAGCUCUGCCUCUGCCGUCGCGACCCGAAGCCCCGGACGCCGCGCCAAUCCCUGCCGUUGCGACCCUCCUCUGCAAAUCUGUCUCCGCCGUCAGAUCCCAAGCCACCGGUGACCCAGAGUCGCAGCCGAGUCAAGAUCCAGCACCCGGAGUCCCUCCGCUUGCAAAUCCAAGGUCCCCGACGACAUAAGCCCCGGACCCAGCUCGACGCUUCCCUUUUGCCGGUGCCGAGCCUCAUCGAAGACC